UACGUAGGGGGCAAGCGUUUGUCCGGAUUCAUUGGGCGUAAAGGGUGCGUAGGCGGCGCGGUAAGUCGGGUGUGAAAUCUCGGGGCUUAACCCGGGAACUGCGUCCGAUACUGGCAGGCUUGAAUCCGGGAGAGGGAUGUGGAAUUCCAGGUGUAGCGGUGAAAUGCGUAGAUAUCUGGAGGAACACCGGUGGCGAAGGCGGCAUCCUGGACCGGUAUUGACGCUGAUGCGCGAAAGCCAGGGGAGCAAAGCGGG
rnacentral:rRNA from 1 species